CGGCGGGUGCUACCAUGCAAGUCGAGCGAGAGACUUCGGUCUCUAGCGGCGGACGGGUGAGUAACACGUGGGUAACCUGCCUCAUAGUGGGGGAUAGCCUUCCGAAAGGAAGAUUAAUACCGCAUAUACUCUCGAUACCGCAUGGUAUUUAGAGGAAAGGAGCAAUCCGCUAUGAGAUGGACCCGCGGCGCAUUAGCUAGUUGGUGAGGUAACGGCACACCAAGGCGACGAUGCGUAGCCGACCUGAGAGGGUGAUCGGCCACAUUGGAACUGAGACACGGUCCAGACUCCUACGGGAGGCAGCAGUGGGGAAUAUUGCACAAUGGGCGAAAGCCUGAUGCAGCAACGCCGCGUGAGUGAUGACGGCCUUCGGGUUGUAAAGCUCUGUCUUUUGGGACGAUAAUGACGGUACCAAAGGAGGAAGCCACGGCUAACUACGUGCCAGCAGCCGCGGUAAUACGUAGGUGGCAAGCGUUGUCCGGAUUUACUGGGCGUAAAGGAUGCGUAGGUGGAUAUUUAAGUGGGAUGUGAAAUACCCGAGCUCAACUUGGGUGCUGCAUUCCAAACUGGAUAUCUAGAGUGCAGGAGAGGUAAGUGGAAUUCCUAGUGUAGCGGUGAAAUGCGUAGAGAUUAGGAAGAACACCAGUGGCGAAGGCGACUUACUGGACUGUAACUGACACUGAGGCAUGAAGCGUGGGGAGCAAACAGGAUUAGAUACCCUGGUAGUCCACGCCGUAAACGAUGGGUACUAGGUGUAGGGGGGUCCAACCCUCUGUGCCGCC
rnacentral:rRNA from 1 species